GACGAACGCUGGCGGCGUGCUUAACACAUGCAAGUCGAACGGAAAGGCCUGCUUUCCCUUGUGGAUUGCGGGUACUCGAGUGGCGAACGGGUGAGUAACACGUGAGUGAUCUGCCCCCAACUUGGGUAUAAGCCUGGGAAACUGGGUCUAAUUACCGAUAGGACUGCAGGGUGGUGCCUGUGGUGGAAAACGAUUUUCUAGUGGUUGGGGAUGAGCUCGCGGCCUAUCAGCUUGUUGGUGGGGUAAUGGCCUACCAAGGCGGCGACGGGUAGCCGGCCGGAGAGGGUGGAAGGCAACAGUGGGACUGAGAUAAGGCCCAGACUACUACGGGAGGCAGCAGUGGGGAAUAUUGAACAAGGGGCGGAAGCCUGAUGCAGCGACGCCGCGUGGGGGAUGACGGCCUUCGGGUUGUAAACUCCUUUCGACCGCGAGGAAGCCACCUGGUUGGAAGGGUGGUGACGGUAGUGGUAGAAGAGGCACCGGCUAACUACGUG
rnacentral:rRNA from 1 species